AUUGAACGCUGGCGGCAGGCUUAACACAUGCAAGUCGAGCGGGGGAAGGUAGCUUGCUACUGGACCUAGCGGCGGACGGGUGAGUAAUGCUUAGGAAUCUGCCUAUUAGUGGGGGACAACAUCUCGAAAGGGAUGCUAAUACCGCAUACGUCCUACGGGAGAAAGCAGGGGAUCUUCGGACCUUGCGCUAAUAGAUGAGCCAAAGUCGGAUUAGCUAGUUGGUGGGGUAAAGGCCUACCAAGGCGACGAUCUGUAGCGGGUCUGAGAGGAUGAUCCGCCACACUGGGACUGAGACACGGCCCAGACUCCUACGGGAGGCAGCAGUGGGGAAUAUUGGACAAUGGGGGGAACCCUGAUCCAGCCAUGCCGCGUGUGUGAAGAAGGCCUUAUGGUAGUAAAGCACUUUAAGCGAGGAGGAGGCUACUCUAGUUAAUACCUAGGGAUAGUGGACGUUACUCGCAGAAUAAGCACCGGCUAACUCUGUGCCAGCCGCCGCAGUAA
rnacentral:rRNA from 1 species